rnacentral:snRNA from 1 species
GAAACAGAAUGGCUACGCCAUCUAUCAAGCCACUGAUCUCCGGGGCCGAUUCAGUUGAUCUGGCGGUGGAGGCAGCCCUCCCUCCCCGCCCCCUCCUUCCUCCUUUAUUCCUCCACGUGUCUCUCCUGAAGAUGCACAGGCGAGGAAGAUGACGGCCUUCCCUGUAGAGGAGAACCAGUCCUCAGUCAAAGGCGUCCGAGUAGCUGCUUUCCUUCAUUAGGGCCGUCACAUGAGCUCUCAAGGUGCGCGCGUCACUUCGCCACUGACUUCUUGGGGUGCACGUAAAAAGAUUUCGAAUUUUUUUCUAACUUACCAAAUAUUUUAUUUUU